GACGAACGCUGGCGGCGUGCCUAACACAUGCAAGUCGAACGGAGAUGUUUAUUUCGGUAGACAUCUUAGUGGCGCACGGGUGAGUAACGCGUGAAUAACCUGACCCGAAGAGGGGGAUAACACCUGGAAACAAGUGCUAAUACCGCAUAAGACCACGGACCGGCAUCGGUCAGAGGUCAAAGGAGAAAUCCGCUUUGGGAGGGGUUCGCGUCCCAUUAGGUAGUUGGUGAGGUAACGGCCCACCAAGCCGACGAUGGGUAGCCGAGCUGAGAGGCUGAUCGGCCACACUGGAACUGAGACACGGUCCAGACUCCUACGGGAGGCAGCAGUGGGGAAUAUUGGGCAAUGGGCGCAAGCCUGACCCAGCAACGCCGCGUGAGGGAAGAAGGUUUUCGGAUUGUAAACCUCUGUCGCAGGGGACGAAGGAAGUGACGGUACCCUGUAAGAAAGCCCCGGCUAA
rnacentral:rRNA from 1 species